AGUCGACGAACUCUGGUAUUGAUUGGUGCUUGCAUCAUGAUUUACAUUUGAGUGAGUGGCGAACUGGUGAGUAACACGUGGGAAACCUGCCCAGAAGCGGGGGAUAACACCUGGAAACAGAUGCUAAUACCGCAUAACAACUUGGACCGCAUGGUCCGAGUUUGAAAGAUGGCUUCGGCUAUCACUUUUGGAUGGUCCCGCGGCGUAUUAGCUAGAUGGUGGGGUAACGGCUCACCAUGGCAAUGAUACGUAGCCGACCUGAGAGGGUAAUCGGCCACAUUGGGACUGAGACACGGCCCAAACUCCUACGGGAGGCAGCAGUAGGGAAUCUUCCACAAUGGACGAAAGUCUGAUGGAGCAACGCCGCGUGAGUGAAGAAGGGUUUCGGCUCGUAAAACUCUGUUGUUAAAGAAGAACAUAUCUGAGAGUAACUGUUCAGGUAUUGACGGUAUUUAACCAGAAAGCCACGGCUAACUACGUGCCAGCAGCCGCGGUAAUACGUAGGUGGCAAGCGUUGUCCGGAUUUAUUGGGCGUAAAGCGAGCGCAGGCGGUUUUUUAAGUCUGAUGUGAAAGCCUUCGGCUCAACCGAAGAAGUGCAUCGGAAACUGGGAAACUUGAGUGCAGAAGAGGACAGUGGAACUCCAUGUGUAGCGGUGAAAUGCGUAGAUAUAUGGAAGAACACCAGUGGCGAAGGCGGCUGUCUGGUCUGUAACUGACGCUGAGGCUCGAAAGUAUGGGUAGCAAACAGGAUUAGAUACCCUGGUAGUCCAUACCGUAAACGAUGAAUGCUAAGUGUUGGAGGGUUUCCGCCCUUCAGUGCUGCAGCUAACGCAUUAAGCAUUCCGCCUGGGGAGUACGGCCGCAAGGCUGAAACUCAAAGGAAUUGACGGGGGCCCGCACAAGCGGUGGAGCAUGUGGUUUAAUUCGAAGCUACGCGAAGAACCUUACCAGGUCUUGACAUACUAUGCAAAUCUAAGAGAUUAGACGUUCCCUUCGGGGACAUGGAUACAGGUGGUGCAUGGUUGUCGUCAGCUCGUGUCGUGAGAUGUUGGGUUAAGUCCCGCAACGAGCGCAACCCUUAUUAUCAGUUGCCAGCAUUAAGUUGGGCACUCUGGUGAGACUGCCGGUGACAAACCGGAGGAAGGUGGGGAUGACGUCAAAUCAUCAUGCCCCUUAUGACCUGGGCUACACACGUGCUACAAUGGAUGGUACAACGAGUUGCGAACUCGCGAGAGUAAGCUAAUCUCUUAAAGCCAUUCUCAGUUCGGAUUGUAGGCUGCAACUCGCCUACAUGAAGUCGGAAUCGCUAGUAAUCGCGGAUCAGCAUGCCGCGGUGAAUACGUUCCCGGGCCUUGUACACACCGCCCGUCACACCAUGAGAGUUUGUAACACCCAAAGUCGGUGGGGUAACCUUUUAGGAACCAGCCGCCUAAGGUGGGACAGAUGAUUAGGGUGAAGUCGUNACAAGG
rnacentral:rRNA from 2 species